UACAGAGGGUGCGAGCGUUGUUCGGAAUUAUUGGGCGUAAAGGGUGCGUAGGCGGUUUGGUAAGUCUCUUGUGAAAUCUAUGGGCUCAACUCAUAGUCUGCAAGGGAAACUGCCGGGCUUGAGUGUGGGAGAGGUGAGUGGAAUUUCCGGUGUAGCGGUGAAAUGCGUAGAUAUCGGAAGGAACACCUGUGGCGAAAGCGGCUCACUGGACCACAACUGACGCUGAUGCACGAAAGCUAGGGGAGCAAACAGG
rnacentral:rRNA from 1 species